rnacentral:tRNA from 1 species
AGGCUAUUAGCUCAAAUGAUAAAGCAAUGUAUAAUAUUGUACAUGGUGUGGGUUCAAGUCCCAUAUAGCCUA